UUGAGCUCCGUAGCUCUCUCGUGGUUUUGAAUGAUUUUUAUUUUCGUUUGGAAUAGGUCACACAGAGAGAGACUUGCUUGUGCUGUACCGCGUUUCUGUUUCUAGAUUCCUAUGUUUAGAAAUAAACAUGUACAACAAAACACUGGGGCUGAAUUUCAAAGCGACUCAGGAACAUGAGGCGCUGUGAAUUGUGAGCUGUUGCUGGUGCGCUGCAGUCCUGGAUCGACACACGGAUUUUGGUGAUCUCCGCGCAGGUCCUGUUCCCAGAUGCCUCGGCGGACUGCACACUGAACAGCCUGUCUGGUGUUUGUCAGGGAAACCGAUUGACGGCAGAUUGACCCCCUUGUGGAUACCGCACCCGGGAAUGUGAUUGCAUUGCUCUGUCGUUGUCUUGGGAUUUCAUUCUAUUAAAGGUUUUCUUGUGUACCUCCUGCUUUGCCUGAUUU